UCACAUGCAAAUAUAUAAAAUAAAAAAAAAUUAAAUAAAAAAAGGGAAAAUAAAAGACAUGCCAGCUGACUUCUCAAUUAGCAGAAGCAAAUGGGAAUUAAUUAAGGGACAGGAUGUGGUGUGGUGGGUCAUAUAGCAUUAGGUCACAGCUGGGUAUUGCUCGGCUGGCGUCACAUGGAAUCAGAGACGGGUGGUAGUGGAAGUGUGCCUGUCCUCUCCCACACUCCAAAGUCCGUGACAUCAAACAUUUUAUGCCUUUGCACCAACAGUCUUUGCCGCCUAACCCAUGGUCACAGUUUCUAGCCCCCAAGAAACUCCAUGGUCACAUUUCUAGCCCUAGAGUCUAGGUGUAUGUCGUAAAACGGCGGGGUUUAGAACCCUAAACCCUAAUAUCGGCACAUAAAACACGAGUAAAAACAUCGUGUUUUGUGUUGCUUGUGCACGAUUAGGGAACCCAUAACCGUUGAUUGAUGUGAAUCUCACGCUGAUAAAUGGUUUACAUGAAAGACUACAACUUGUUAGGGUUGUUGGGUGUCGCUUUCUUGUCUAUAUGUCUAUGCCAAUCACACUAGUGACGAAUCUUAGAAAACAUCUAUUAAUCAACCAUUCACUUCUAAUCAUUUGUGGCAUCUAGCAUAUAAUAAACUGCCCUUUUUUUUAUGAAUGAAUUAGUACCAACCCAUUUGUAAACUGAUUCUCCAGAAUUCAACCGAAAACAAAACAAAAUGACUAGUGAAAUUUUUACUAGUUCCGGCCUAACCUCGCAAUCAAAUGCAUUUUUAUCAGCCCCUCACAACACAUAACAAACAUCAACUGAAUCAAUCAAUCGAAAACGAAUUGAAACAAAUCGCAGAAAGACAAGGCACGGCGCUCCUUGGCUUAAGCUAGCAGCAACUGUAGCAGCAGUCGUGAGAGGUCCAUGAAAAGCUUUGGAAACAAGAAUAUCAACAGAGGAGGAUGGGACUGAUCUAAACAAGGGUUAUUAGGUGCUAUAUCGGGAGGGAGAAAGGCCGGAAGAGGGGUUUUUCCGGCUUUAUAAACAUAGCUGAAGAUGCCAUAAGCCUCUUCGAAACUUCAUUGACAUUGCACACUGAUAGUUCAAUUGACGAAAACUUGGACAAAUCGAGCCGAUAAUCCAAGAAAGAGAGAACUAGUCAUAAACCAUCCCUCAAUAAAUCAAUGAUCACAUCAUCCUAAUCACUUCUAACAUCUAGCAUACCAUAAUUGACCAUUUCUAAAUUGUUUCGACCUACUCCACUAUGAAGAUCAAUCUUUAGUAGAAUUUGACCUAAUUUAACCUCAAACAAAACAUCAAUUAUGACACAUUACAAAUCUAAUUACUGACAAACACAGAUUUAAGCAAGGAAUCGAAAAAUAAGAAGCAAAUUAGUAAUGCAGAGAAAGAAAAAAGCUCCUGAAAGUAC
rnacentral:lncRNA from 1 species